CGAAGGCGAAGGCGAAGGCGAAGGCGAGGGCGAGGGCGAGGGCGAGAGGCUUUGACGAAGCAGCGGUCAGGUGACGAAACCCACCACGAGCCAUCCCCUUUCUCUCCGGCGACUUCAUUUUCUCCGAUUUAGUUCUUUCUUGUUUUUUCUGUCUUUAAAUUUGAACUGAGGGCGAGUGCUGAGGAAAGAGAUGCAGAGAGAGUGGCAGAAGGGGAAAAAUAGCGAGAAAAGGCUUCCAUGAAAGCCGUAGGUGACGAGACCCACCGCAAGCUACCACCUGGUUGAAUCCAUCACCUUUCUCUCCUCAAUGAAAAAUGGUCUUCUUGCCUUCCUGAACCACGGUGCUGGCUGAACCCAUCGAUCGCUGCUCGCAAAUCGCAGGCCAGAGACUAGGGCAAAAAUCUGCAAUGAUGAGCUACAUAUACCGAUGGAGGAUCCAGACUGACCAAGCUUUUGGAUAAAGCACACAAGUCUAAUUAAUGCGCUACAUAUAACAAUGGAGGAUUUCUGCAAAAUUUGGUCGACCAAAUGGGAUUAUUUGAAAUCCAUUGAAGUCGAAUACAAGUUGAUGCCCUCCACGUGGAUUGUUGUUCGAAAAAUUGAUGGCUGCCAUUUUCAUAGGUAAAUUAUUUUUAUUGCCGAGCAGAAAGAAUUACUUGUUUUUGUCCGAUUUCGGGUCUCAUUCUCUCAGAUUUCAUUCUUUAUUGUUUUUGUCUUUAAAUUUGAACUGAGGGCGAGAAGAGAGAGAAGGAGAGUGCUGAGGAAAGAGAUGCAGAGAGAGUGACCGGAGGGGAAAAAUAGCGAGAAAAGGCUUCCAUGAAAACAGUAGGUGACGAGACCCACCGCAAGCCACCACCUGGCUGAAUCCAUCGAUUCUCUGCUCGCAAAACGCAGGCCAGGGCGACAAUUUGCAAUGAUGAGCUACAUAUACCAGUGGAGGAUCCAGACUGGCCAAGCUUUUGGAUAAAGCAGACAAGUCUAAUUGAUGCGCUACAUAUAACAAUGGAGGAUUUCUGCAAAAUUUGGUAGACCAAAUGGGAUUAUGUGAAAUCCAUUGAAGUCAAAUACAAGUUGAUGCCCUCAACCUGGUUGAAUCGAUCCCUCGUGGAUUGUUGUUCGAAAAAUUGAUGGCUGCCAUUUUCCUAGCAAGCAUAGAGUUGAUAGCACUAAAAUAGUGAAAGCAGUUAUAGGUUCCAAGACUCUUACUAGUGCAGCUGGAGCAACCUAUAAGUAUGACGUUUUGAUAUUUGCAAUUGGCUCUACAAACAUCUUCUAUGUGAGAGAAAUUGAUGAUGCUGACAAGCUUAUAGAACCAAUUAACGCAAAGAAGGAAGGAAAGGCUAUAAUGAAGAUUAACAAUUUUGAUGUUACUAUGGUGUAUCCUGAACGAUGCAGUAAGACAACCAUUUUAACCUAGUAUGGAAUUCUAUUAUUCUUUGAUUUAGAUUGAGACUAAUGUGAAAAUUUGAAAAUUAUCUGGAGCUUAAAGUGAAAUUUGUAUGCGUUUGUUGGGAUCCAUGAAAGGGCUCUUAGGAUUGGUAACUUAUUUCAUGUAAUAUGUUCUUGCAGUGCUGCUAUAACUGCUUUCUAUGAGGGUAAUAUGCCAAAAAAGGUGUCAACAUUAUUAAAGGAAUAGUUGCAGUUGGGUUUUAUACAAAUGCAAAUGGGGUACCUAUUUUCUUCUCUACCUGUUGCCCUCCUCCUUCUGAUUCACAUAUAGCUUACCACGCCAGCUCCUUCGGUUUCUUUACUUCUUGCAUAUUAUGAAGAAUCUGAUAAUUCCAAAAGAAAUGAGGGACAGUUUGAAUCCUCCGCAAUAUGAUCUCGAGCAUUUGAAACUGAAAAAUAGCAAACCAGUAAUGGGACUCUAUGAAGAAUUUCUCAAUAGCGUGCUGCUGAGAUCUCACCUAAAGGGUUUAUCUAUGUCAAUGGAGUGAAUGGACUUCACCACGGGGAUUGUGCAGACUUAAUUUCUGGAAAUUAUUCUGAAUCUGACCAUCAGAUUCAUUUGAUUUUAUGGCCCUCACUUGGAAGGCCUUCAACUCAAUUUGGUGGCAAUCUGCCACUUGGAUUGAUUGUAAUUUUGAAUCACCCCAAAAAGAAGCAUGUAAGACUGAUGCAGCUCAGCAGCAAGAAAGGUACUUGAAAAAGUGCCAAGGAACGAAACUUUUUUUUUAUUUUUGUUGCUUUUUAUUAGCUGGAAAAUGUCCUGAGACCAAUAUAAUUCAACCUCUGUUGCUUUAAUAAAAGCAUUGUAAGGGUUAGGCGAUUUUAUAAAUAAAUCUUAGCUUUUGCUACUUUCAUUCUGUGAGAUUCCAAUGGCUGUGAGAUCCAGUGCUUGUGGUGAAAUACCUUUAACGGCCUAUGGGACUCUAGUUGAGGCUAGGUGGGAUGCUUAGUCAUAUCUGUUUCUUAUUCAUUCUUCUCCUCCAUUAAUAUUCAAGUAAGUGUUCUAUUUACAAUCUUAUUCUGUUACAAUCUUUCAAUUUAUUAAAGCUCUUCAAUUCUUGAUUGAUGCUGACAACAUGGCCACAUUUGAGAUGAUUAUUGUAGCAAAUAACUUGCAUGGAGAUUACCAGCUUGCUAAUGGUUAUGGGCAUGACAAAGCCAAUACGGUACAUGAUCCCAAAAUGGAAAUGAAAUAUACUGCCAGUAGAGAUAGUUCGGUAGACUACUAGCCCACAUCUCUAGUUUACAUCUCACAAAGCCUGGAUGAUGACUUUUUUGGCUUGCAGGACUGUGAACUGCGGACUCGAGAAACUCAUUGUAGAGGACAUUGCAGUACACCCUAUAGCUAUAAGACUGCAUAAUUAAGCUGAAGGAUGGACUUUCAAAAUUCGAACUCUUUUCUUCACAUGUCACUCUGAUUUUGAGGACAAAAUUGGUUACACGUUCUUCAACGUUCCUUGGAAGUGACAAUCAUCAGUUCUUUGCUAGAAUAGGAUCAUCUCUUGGUGGAGCUUCUCCGGCGUUGAGGAAGGUGGAGCAUUUCUCGGUUUAGCUACUGGAGAAGGACGUUAUGGUGAUCGCUCAAUCAAAGCUCACGAGUACACAUCAACAAGGAUGUCAACCAGCCAACCACUAGGAAAAGUCACCGACCACAAUAUAAAGAAGACUUAAACUAAUUUUUAGGGUUCUAACUGAGCCAGAAACUUCUGCAACAUUAGCCGAACACUCGAAGAUGAGCACUUUAAAAAUUAAUUGAAUGACGCUUCCACAUCUGUCUCGUCUGAAAAUCCCAACAGAUAUGUCUCUAACCUAUUACUCAUAUAAUUUCAUCACAUUUAAAUUUAAGUUUAUGUAUCGGCUUCUAUUAUUUUGUAGCUCUUAGUCACUAGGGAUCAUAUUCCUACACGCACUUAGUCAAUAUGAGAUUGAUUCAGCAAAAAUUCUCAAAUAUUGAGGUUUCUUAGGAAAUUUUACUCUUUAGGGUCGAAACUAGAGUAAUAAUACCAAAACUCAAUAUAUGGUUGAACAUUCAUCGUAAUUGUAAUUUUAUUAUUGAAAAUUAUAAUUUAUAAAAAAAGGUUUGACCAAAACAUAAUGGAUCUAGUAAUUACAGAGAGUCAGUACUUCACCUAAUACAAAAGGGUAUCCCACGCCAUAAGGACCUCAACUCAAAAUCAUGUUUUUUAUCUGUAAUGAAGGUUACGUUUGGUGUGGAAUUCUAAAUUCAUUGUUGACCUGAGAUGCAUUCCAAGAAUACAGCCAUAUGUAGCCUAAGGUAGCAGAAAGGCUAUUUAGUUCCCUCAUUUUUCUUACCAAUAUCUUACAUUAGUGGUGCUUAUCCAUGGCUAGUAAGCUUUCAAAUGGUAAUCCCUAAUCUCAGAAACCCACAGUACAGUUCUAGAAUUUCUCUUUACUCUUCAUUAUUUUAUUUUCUAUAGUUUGUAUUUAAACCCUUAUUAGCUUCCCCAACAUCUUUUCUGCCUGGUUUAUGUUAUUGGUUUCAUUACUCGAUACUUAUUGCAUAGAUUCUUCUGGGGCAGCUGAAGGAUGGCCUUGCAGAAUUUGAACUCAUUUCAUCACAUGUCGCUCCGAUUUCAAGUAUAAAAUUGGUUACAUGUUCUUCAACGUUCCUCGAAAGUGACAGUCAUCAGUUCUUUGCUAGAACAGGAUCAUCUCUUGGUGGAGCUUCUCUGACAUUGAGGAAGGUGGAGCAUUACUUGGUUCAGAUAGUUACUGGGGAAGGAUGUUGUAUACCCUGGGCACUGCUCUUUUAAGUUAUUUAGUGUACUUUUCAAAUAUGAGAUCUGCCACCUCAGCUCAGAUGGUGAUCGCUCAAUCAAAAGCUCACGAGUACACAUCAGCAAGGUUGCGUUUGGUGUGGAUUUUUAAAUUCAUUGCUGACCUGAGAUGCAUUCCAAGAAUACAACCAAAUGCAGCCUAAGGUAGCAGAAAGGCUAUUUAGAAAUUUGAACACCCUCACUUUAUCAGUCUGUAACUGUUCCUUCAUUCUUUUUACUAGUAUCUUAUAUUAGUGGUGCUUAUCCAUGUGGGUAAGCUUUCAAAUAGUAAUCCCUAAUCUCAGAAACCCACAGUAAAGUUCCAGAAUUUCUCUUUGCUCUCCAUUAUUUGUUUUCUAUAGUUUAUAUUUAAACCCUUACCAGCUUCCCCAACGUCUUUUGUGCCUUGUUAAUGUUAUUGGAUCCAUUACUCUGAUACUUAUUGCAUAGAUUCUUCUGAGGCAGCUAAAGGAUGGACUUGUAGAAUUUGAACUACUUUCAUCACAUGUUGUUCCGAUAUCGAGUUUAAAAUUGGUUACAUGUUCUUCAGCAUUCCUCGGAAGUGACAGUCAUCAGUUCUUUGCUAUAAUAGGAUCAUCUCUUGGUGGAGCUUCUCUGGCAUUGAGGAAGGUACUGCGCUUCUCCGGCAUUGAGGAAGGUGGAGUAUUACUCGGUUCAGAUAGUUACUGGAGAAGGAUGUUGUAAAGGGAAUGGAUUUGAACAAGGGGGGUUGCACUAUGCCCAUGGGAUGGAAGAGAUAAUGCAGGUAACUUGGAAACUAUUUGCAUGUGCUCUAAUGUUAGUGUGUAUGAAUAAAUAGGAAACUUAUAUUUAUUUACCUAUGUAUUUGUGACACCCUGUGUCCAAAAACAGCUGCUUGCCUUGGGUGCCAGAUCAUAGCAAUGCACUAAGGACAGUUGGGCUGGUUGCUUGGCAAAGGGGUGGUGAUGAACUGUAGAAAUUGCAUUAAUUUGAUGUGGGGCCCACUGCCUUACGAGCAUUGACCAAUCAGUCCCAUAGGCUGAUAGGGCAUCGUAUACUAGUCUUAUAGCACCUGACAUGCAAAGCAUCAGGUAGGCCCACAUAGCAGUAUAAAGGAUUUAUUCAAUUUAAUUUUAAAAGCCCCCAAGCCAAAUAGGCCCAAUUGGUUUAAGUUAACCAGUAUAUAAAAGAUUCUAUCCUCUCAUGUCUCCCAUUUCAUCCUACUAAAUUCGGUGGAGAAGGAAAGGAGAAGAGGAGUAGAAGAAGAAGAAGAACAGGAAGAGAAGAAUAAGGGCUGCCCAGCUACUGUCCAAGUCUGUAUGGGGGCUGCUGUGUAUGGUGCUGCUUUCAUGCUGUUGUACCUACAUUUUGUGCUGUAAAUACAAGCAAAAGGUAAGAGUACCAUCCCUAUUUUUGCAGUACAGUAGGGUACUUGCAUGGUCAUAGGUAUUAACAACCAUUUCCUAAGCAUGUAGCCACCCAAAAUUGGGAAUUGUGGACUGCAUCUUUGGGAUUUGUGCUGAUUCAACCUGCAGAGACUGUAGAGGUAUACAUGCAUGCAAUUCUCUAUAAAUUUAGGACUUGGACUUGUCUCCACAGCAACCUAUAAAUGGGUUUUUUGUUUUGUAUGCAUGGGAUUUUCAUCCCCGAGCUAGAAACCCAAUUUCAGAGAUGAAAUGAGUGUUGUAGACAUGCUAGAUUUGUAAAUUGAGUAGGGUUCAGACCUAUACUUCAUCUUUUCAGUCGCCCAAAAAUUGGUUAUAAACUUUAAAAGUGUGGGAAUACCAACCCAGAGCUGGGAUUUCCAUCCCAAAGAAGAAAUUAGAGAAAUAGAGGGGGGUUUAGAGACUAAUGUAGGACUAGAUUUGAUACCAAAACUAGACCCAAAACUCCAGGAACUUGUAAUCCAAAGAACAAACCAAGUACCCAAUGUACUAGCAACAACAAAUCAGAAAAACAUUAAUAAUUCAGCAGUCCAUCGAUCCAGACCAUCAUUAUUGAUUAGGACAGAACAGUAGUAAUUAAAUAAACAUAAACAGGAACUUCAGAUGACUCUUAGAGGUUCAAAUCAGCAGUAAUAAUGAUCCACAGUCUUAAGACAAUAGUAUAACAUCAGUCACAGCAGGAACAUGGAGAUUUUGAAUAUCUCACUAAUGGCUAACAGAAACAGCCCAAGUUUGGAUCGAUCCUUAGUGGAGUAUGGGAGAACAAUCAAUAAAAAUUUGAGAGCAAACUGACGGCAGGAACUAAUACCAAUAGUAGAGGUCGAUUGCUAUUUCAACAGGGAUUUCUGACAGAACUUGAAAUAAUAAAUACCUGGAUUGUUGGCAGUAGUAGACCUUGAGAAUAAAAGAAGAAAACACGUAGAAGAACCACCCGGGCUUCACACUGCAAGGCGUCAACCUGAGAUAACCUUGAGAGUACUUUUCAUAUUAUUUGAAGCUCUUUUAAGUUAUUGAGUGUACUUGUCAUAUAUAAGAUCUACCACCUAAGCUCAUAUGGUGAUCGCUCCAUCAAAAGCUCACGAGUCCAAAUCAGCAAGGAUAUCAACCAGCCAGCCGAUGGGAAGAGUCACAGACCACUAUAUAAGAAGACUUAAACUGAUUUUUAGGGUACGACACUCAGAACACUCAAAGCUCAGCCUACUCUCCAUUAUAUUUUUAUCAGAAUACUAAUUUAGGCAUCGGAGCCUUCUUCCCAGGGUCACCCUUCGGGCCAGUUUUUUAUCUAUGGUUUGUAGGUUCUAACUAAGCGGUAAACUGUGGUAAUAUGUAUUAUUUGGAUUUUCUGGUUUUGUCUCCAUUAUGUUCUUCGUCAACAUCGCAGAAAAAGAGUCUCUUAUAGAACUCCAACCAGACUAGUGCAAUUGUGGUGUCAAAUCUUCACAACUAUAUAACACACCCAGCAACACCACUCGAAGACGAACACUUUGAAAAUUAGCCGAAUGACGCUUCAAGCUCUCCACAUCUAUCUCGGUUGUAAAUUCCAAAAGAUAUAUCUCUUACCUAUAACUCAUACAAUUCUAAAAUAUUUAAAUUUAAGUUUAUCUAUCGACUUUUAUUUUUUGUGGCUUUUAGUCUUCAGGAAUCAUAUACCUACAUGCACUUGGUCAAUAUAAGAGUGAUUAGGCCAAAUUUCACAAAUAUUGAGGUUUCCUAAGAAUUUUUACUCUUUGGAGUUGUUAUUAGUGAGAUGAUACCGAAACUCAAAAUAUAUUUGAACUUUCAUUGUAAUUGCAAUUUUCUUAUUGAAAACUUACAACUUAUACAAGGAGGAAGGAGAUGAGCUUCAUCUCCUUCCUCGAUUUAAAAACCCAGGUAUAGUUGGGUUUAAAAACCCCUUAGUCCUAGAGGUGAAAAUUAACUUAGAAAUAUAAAGGGAUAAAAGUAAAUGUAGAAACUAUAGAUGCAUAGUUGAACAGUUGCGUAUAAUUAGGUAUAGCUGUUUAGAAUGGGAGACAGGCAAAGGAGAUGAAUGGGUACUAGAUCUAGGUGGCUUACAUGUGCGGGGAAGGUCCCACAUAAGGUGAAAUAUCUUAGGCAGAAUGCCUAGAAAAUUGAAUUUUUUUUCCCUGUGGGCCCCAAUACUUUGUAAGGUUAUUUUACCCAUUCCCACCAUGGAUUAAGGCAUGAUCAAGGGUUCUAAUGCAGUUGGUUUCAUGUUGAAACCUAUUUUCUUUGAAAAGUUAUUUAAGUUUAAAAGAGGGGAAAAGAGAUUUUUAUAAAAAUACUUUUGGCAAUAGAUUUUUUUUAUAAAAGUACUUUUGCCAAACAGAACCUAAGGUCUGUUUAGCUUAUAAACAGAGAAAGGUUGACCGUUUCUCUCUUUCUUUUGUUGCUGAGAAUACAAGAACUAGAGAGAAGAAAACAAAAGGAAGAGAAGAAGGAAGAAGGACAGAUUGAAGCUACUACAGCGCAACUGCUAUUGCCCUGCUGCUGCAACUGUUGCUGGAAUUGUUGCUGCUGUUACUGCUUGCGGCUGCUACUGUUGUGCACACCAGUGCACUGGUGAUGCUGCGUCUGCUACUCCUAGGUGUUGCUAUGUUGCUGCCAUAUUUGGGAGCUGGAACAUAGGUCAUACGACUGAUGGUGGACCCUCCUGCUCACCCGAAACUUGUCGGGAAGGAACCUUAAAUGUACCCGGUAAGGAUAUGUGUGAUCGGGAAUUCAGAGAAAGGACACCAAAUUCAGGAAAACCAAGUGAGUAGGUGUUUGUUUUAUUUUACGGAGUGUUUCAUAUAUACUUUGAUGUUUACCUACUCAUGUGGAAUGAUUACCAUGUUAUGGAUUUAUUUUAUAUAAAAUUAUAUAUUUCACAUGUUGAAUGUUGUUACCGACUUUCAUAUGAUCGAGGUUUUAUGGAUGUGUAGUAUAUUAGUUGUGUGGUGAUGGUUGUAAUAUUGAUGGUCUAAGGCAUGGUGUGGCCAAGGUUCUUUUUGGUACUGUGGGCUCAAAGCUCAGUGUUACAGUUGUGACCACGGAUAUGUGAUUGGAUGUUAUAGAUAUUAUGAAUGCUAUGGAUGCAUGUAGGUGCAUAUAAUUAGGAUCACAUCCCAGUGCAAUAACCCCUUGCCAAUAGGUGGUAAGGUAUUGGUUAAUACCACUCAGUGGUAGGUCGCGGAGGACUACUACACCCGGAUACGACGUACUAUAUUCUGAGAGGGUAUAGCAUAGUACGAUGUACUAUACGCAAGACUGUUGGACUGCAUGGGGGGCCCAAUAACGGUGUGGGAAUUUGAGACAAUGGAUGUCAGAGAUUACUAUUUAGGGGUUGGUUUGGGGACCGAGGUUCUUACCGAGACUGGCUAACUCCUACUUGUAGCUAGCUUGUAUCUCCAAGGCCCGACGUACAGGGAAGGGGAUGCCACUUAUGCUGCUUAUAGCACUUAUACCCAUACGUAUUGAGACUUAGUAAUUAGAAUGGAUAAAUAUAAAUAAUAUGGAUCAUAUGGUUGUGCAUCUAUGAUAUUACUGAGAGUGUGUGUUCGUUCCAUGAUGUUGUGUGUACUUAUAUCCACACCCCUCACUGGGCUUGGGAAGCUCACCCCUCAUUGAUUACUAUUUUAAGAUGGUGGAACCUACACUGAAGCAGGAUCGGACUUUGAUGACGAUUGAGAGGCUCGUGUCUAUGAGACACAGGGUUGCUGAUGGAUUUCAUUAUUGUUAUUUGGUAAUUUCUUUUAAUGUAUAUUGGUGUGAUAUGUAAGAGGUAAAUAUUGCAAUUGUGGGUUGUCAACAAAUAAAUUUGGUAUAUUUGUAAGUUAUCAUUUUAGUACGUCUUUUUUUUUAUAAAAGGUGAUAGAAUUAAUAAGGAAAAAGGAAAUACAACCAAUAAAGGGCACAAAGAAAAACAAGCAUGAAACCUCUAAGGACGCCUUCAAACUCCACCUUCGGCAUGGCCAUCAGCAGAAAAAGAAAGCACAACCCUAUGGGAAUCAGAAUCUAUGCCUGCUAAUAGCAUCAUUCAUUAAAUCUUCUAAAACAUGACUAGGAAAGAACUAGAGUAUUCAGAAAUCUUAGACUUUGAUGCCUUCUUCACCAAAAAGUCAACCAUUGUAUUACCCUCCCUGGAAGCAGUGGGUGAUCUUCCAUGGAAUGGAUUCUAAGAAAGGUAGGGCAAACAUCCAUUUUUGAAGAGCAAACCACGGGAUAUGAUGCUUCUGAACCGCAGCCACCACUGCUGCCGAGUCUGACACUAUCCACAGCCCCUUUGCAUUCAUAUCCUUGGCUAACAAGAUCGUUUUAUAUGCUAAGUUUGACUCGAUCAUUUUAGUACAUCACCAGUGUUAUUUAUAUGAUUUUAUUAGCGUACUCUGAUCUUAGUUGUGAUCUUGAUGGAUUUUGUAAAAUUAAGGUACUGCAUCUGUGAUUCUAAAGGGUUAGGUUGACUGAAUAUGGGUAUCCAGUGCUGUAUACCUUGGUCAAAUUUGAGGUACGGUGUGACAUUUGAAUCAGUCACUUUCCUUCUUGUUGCCCCAUCUCCUUCCUCCUUGCCACCUUCUAACCAGCCACCUACCCCAACUACCUUGUCGCUUGUAUUGUAUUUCAUUGUAUUUUUGCUCCACUCAACAUUGUUUAGCUAUGUGUUAAUUCAUAUACCCUAAUUAAUUGUAUGGUUUGUACCAUUAUUUUAUUUUCUGUACUUUUGCUUCACAAAUUUGUUUAGCCCAUUGUUUAUGGUUGACUCUACCCGAAUUUAACAUUAUAAUUCCAUCAUUGGUAGACUACAAGUGUAUGAUAUGUACUUCGCUCGUUUAGGGUUGAAAAUAUUUGUUCUAUUAUGUUAGGAUGCCCUAUUUAUAUGCUACAAUAUUCUAUCUAUCCUUACCUCUCUCUUACUUUUUUCUUAUCUUGAUUUGUCCGAUAGGCAAUUUGAAGAACAUGUUUGUUCUAAACUGUCUCUGACUCAACUAUUUCAUAUCAAGAUACAAACAGAUAUAAAUCCUGCAACGUUCUUAUAACUCGGAUGGUGAUUGCUCAAUCAAAAGCUCACGAGUACACAUCAGCAAGGAUGGCAACCAACUAACCAAUAAAAAGAGUCACAGACCACUGUAUAAAGAAGACUUAAACUGAUUUUUAGGGUUCUAACUGAGCGGAAAACUUCUGCAAUAUUAGCCGAAUACUCGAAGAUGAGCACUUUGAAAAUUAACUGAACGACGCUUCCAGCUCUCCACAUGUCUCAUUUGAAAAUCCUAAUAGAUAUAUCUCUAACCUAUUGUUCAUACAAUUUCAUCAUAUUUAAAUUUAAGUUUAUGUAUCGGCUUCUAUUAUUUUGUGGCUCUUAGUCGUCAAGGAUCAUAUACCUACACGCACUUGCUCAACAUGAGUAUGAUUCAGUAAAAAUUGUCAAAUAUUGAAGUUUCUUAGGAAAUUUUACUCUUUAGAGUCAAAACUAGCGUAAUGAUACCGAAACUCAAUAUAUGGUUGAA